GAUGAACGCUGGCGGCGUGCCUAAUACAUGCAAGUCGAGCGAACAGAUGAGGAGCUUGCUCCUCUGACGUUAGCGGCGGACGGGUGAGUAACACGUGGAUAACCUACCUAUAAGACUGGGAUAACUUCGGGAAACCGGAGCUAAUACCGGAUAAUAUAUUGAACCGCAUGGUUCAAUAGUGAAAGACGGUUUUGCUGUCACUUAUAGAUGGAUCCGCGCCGCAUUAGCUAGUUGGUAAGGUAACGGCUUACCAAGGCAACGAUGCGUAGCCGACCUGAGAGGGUGAUCGGCCACACUGGAACUGAGACACGGUCCAGACUCCGACGGGAGGCAGCAGUAGGGAAUCUUCCGCAAUGGGCGAAAGCCUGACGGAGCAACGCCGCGUGAGUGAUGAAGGUCUUCGGAUCGUAAAGCUCUGUUAUUAGGGAAGAACAAAUGUGUAAGUAACUAUGCACGUCUUGACGGUACCUAAUCAGAAAGCCACGGCUAACUACGUG
rnacentral:rRNA from 1 species